ACAGAAUUCGUAACUGUGAACUUAGAGCUAGGGACAAAUUAUAAAAGCAAAAAAUGUGAGUGCCUACAAAACUAUCACUGGAAGGAACUGACUCUCAUUUCCAAAUACUGCGUAGAGGAUUGGCAACUCUUCCGGGAGUUAAUCACCCAUUCAUUUCUUCUACCAGCGACCUAUUUUGACGUAGACACAUCAACCAAUUUUCGAGAGCUCCUCGGAGGUUUUCCUUUCAGAACAGUUGUUAAUAAAGCAGAUAAUAAUAAAGUAUGUAGAUCACUCAACACAAACGUGAAACAAGAGGCUGCCGAGACGUAAAUUAACCGUAACCUACGAAAAUGGCAAAUGGCCGACGUCAACGAGGGCGUUUGAGUUUAGCAGAGAUUCCUGCUUGGCCCAGGAGGCUAUAGGUUUGACAAAAAAUCCUGCCGCAGAUCAUCAGUAAGCAAGAGCGUGUUACCGAUGCGUCUCUACUCUCAGCUCUAGUGGAGAAAGAAAGAACUUUAAUUGCUUUAUGUAUUGGCAAAAUCUGCAUUGGAAGCAGAUAGGCAGGGUGGCUUUGCGGUAAAGCACUCGCCUCGUCCACGGAUCGCGGCCAUUGGAGGGCAUUUUCUUAAUGUAUGCAACGUAGAUAAAAAUGCUGUGUAUGGCAUUACUGGAUUAUUUUUUCCAUAAAAUAUGAGUGAGGGUUGCAUUUUGACGCACGUGAUUGAAAAUGGCUCCUCUUGCUUCAGAGAAACUUCUGGAUCUAAGGUCUAAGGUCCCUGUAUAAGGGUAUACAGGGACCGUCCAAUAAACUUGUUCUUUCUUAGAGGAAAAAGCAGACUCCAAAGAUAGAAAUUAAUGUAACAUAGUGGAUAGUUAACAUACUUUAGUAUAAAGCUUUACACAGAGUACUUUUGAUACUUCUUAGGGGCCAUCCAUAAAUUACGUAAGGCACUUUUUCCCAUUUUUAGACCUCCAGCCACCUCCUCGUGAGGCACCGUAAGGCAAAAUUACAGCAAAAUCAUGGGAUAAGCACCAGUUGUUUACAAACGUUAUGAUAAUAAAUCCGCCAUAUUGCCGAUCGCGCACCUGAAAAUCGCAUUUGAAGUCGAAUUUCAACUAAUUUCAACCUCCGGUUCGUUUAUGCGGAGUGCGGAAACCUAGUCUUUAGUGUAAAAUAAGGUUUCAAACACAAAUUUUGGAAACCUACAUUUCGUUAGUUCCGUAUCGUUUAUGCCGUGAUUUGAACCUUAGUUUAAAACUCAGGUUUCGAUUGAACUUAGGUUUAGAGGCUCGCAUAAACAUAGCUAAUGCCAACAUAUAACUCACAUAUGGUUAGGUACUAGGGAUGGGCCGGAUCUCGUGUUUUCAAUGGUUUAAUGGUUUUAGAAAGGGCCAAAAUGAGCGUGAAGUGCAAGGAGGUCCUGGUGCCCAUCGCUGGCAAACCUGUGUCAAGAUCAAAUGAUCUUGAAUAAUCGUAUGAGUACUUGCACCAGAUAAAUGACUAUAAUUAGCUAGUUGACGAACUGUUGUGUAGCAAACAUUCAGCAUACGCCUGAUGUGUUGAUUGCAACCCCGAUAAUCAUGGGUGUGGGGGCACCGGGACCUAUAGCCUCCCCCCCCCCCACGGGGAGCUGGAUCAAAAACUCUGCCAUUUUUUAACUUCUCUAACCUUAUUCCUCCACAAGAGGUGAACAUAUGACAAGAUUCCGUUAUGGGCCCAAUUCUUAUGGGAGAUGCGUAAGCCUCUUUUCGGCAAUAAGUAGGUAAUCAUGGAUUUUCGCAAUUACUUUCUGAGAGGAGCUGCUAGGUAAUGUCUAUUAAAAUUGCAAUAUUGAAGUAAAAUAUUUUCUAAGCGAGGAUGCCAUUGAGAAAGCGUGUCACCACGAUCGGCGACACUUUUCGGCAGUUACAUUGCGCCCCAUCAAAGUGCCCAACGAGUUACCAUGGAAUAAUGAGUUACCUACGAACAGGGUUAUAACACCGCAGGGAGACUGGCGAAUUUGCCGAGUCAUCAUGAAGAAAUAAAUUGGACUCGAACUUACGAACAAUUGGACCGAGUUCAUCAGAAAGUAACUAACCCACAUUAAGUUGAAACUGAGAAAAGAGCGUUUGAAGUUUUAUUUCUGCAUAAGACUCAAUGUAGAAAGUAAACUUUAACCUCUCUUUUCACAAACUAAUUCCUGUUUUUCGAUUUUCAGUUUUUGGCAGGAGAAAAUAUACGGCUAAAGGAACUCAAAAACAUUCUUAACUCAAUUUUUUCAAGAAUGUGGGUUGGUUCGUUUCGGA
rnacentral:lncRNA from 1 species